rnacentral:rRNA from 1 species
AGGAUUAACGCUGGCGGCGUGCCUGACACAUGCAAGUCGAACGAGGCCGCAAGGCCUAGUGGCGGACGGGUGAGUAACACGUGACCAACCAACCUCGAAGUUGGGAAUAGCUCUGCGAAAGCAGGGGUAAUACCGAAUGUGGCCCGGAGCGGACAUCCGCACCGGUCUAAAGAUUUAUCGCUUCGAGACGGGGUCGCGGCCUAUUAGCUUGUUGGUGGGGUAACGGCCUACCAAGGCGAUGAUGGGUAGCUGGUCUGAGAGGACGACCAGCCACACUGGGACUGAGACACGGCCCAGACUCCUACGGGAGGCAGC